UGAAAAUCAGUUGAGUAGGAGUCUGUUUGCAUCAGUUGAUGUUUGAAUCAGAAGUAUAGUACAGAACAGUUGAUGAAGUCAGUUGAGUAUAGUACAGUAUGCUGCAGUGAGUAGUCAGUUCAUAUUUAGUCAAAGUUUAGGAAUGUAUUACACUUAAGAGAAUGUUUGUUAACAUGAAACCUAUAAGCAAUGUACCUGUAUGCUGAAUACAUGAAGUUUUGUCAUCCCUUCUCGUGAUAUGGCCGAAGUAAAACAGUCUUCAGUUAAGUGAUCUUCAAUAAAAAGUUCAAACUUGA